GAUGAACGCUGGCGGCGUGCCUAAUACAUGCAAGUCGAACGAGGUGCUUUUGUAGCACUACGAGAGUAUCCUAGUGGCGAACGGGUGAGUAACGCGUUGGUGACCUACCCCAAAGUGUGGAAUAACAGUCCGAAAGGAUUGCUAAUACCGCAUGUGGUUAUCGGGUUUAGAAACUGAUAACUAAAGGAGCAAUUCGCUUUGGGAGGGACCUGCGUCCCAUCAGCUAGUUGGUGAGGUAAUGGCUCACCAAGGCUACGACGGGUAGGGGACCUGAGAGGGUGACCCCCCACAAUGGAACUGAAACACGGUCCAUACACCUACGGGUGGCAGCAGGAGGGAAUAUUGCACAAUGGGCGAAAGCCUGAUGCAGCAACGCCGCGUGCACGAUGAAGGCCUUCGGGUCGUAAAGUGCUUUUCUGGGAGAUGAGAAAGGACAGUAUCCCAGGAAUAAGUCUCGGCUAACUACGUG
rnacentral:rRNA from 1 species